GACGAACGCUGGCGGCGUGCCUAAUACAUGCAAGUUGAGCGCUGAAGGUUGGUACUUGUACCAACUGGAUGAGCAGCGAACGGGUGAGUAACGCGUGGGGAAUCUGCCUUUGAGCGGGGGACAACAUUUGGAAACGAAUGCUAAUACCGCAUAAAAACUUUAAACACAAGUUUUAAGUUUGAAAGAUGCAAUUGCAUCACUCAAAGAUGAUCCCGCGUUGUAUUAGCUAGUUGGUGAGGCAAAGGCUCACCAAGGCGAUGAUACAUAGCCGACCUGAGAGGGUGAUCGGCCACAUUGGGACUGAGACACGGCCCAAACUCCUACGGGAGGCAGCAGUAGGGAAUCUUCGGCAAUGGACGAAAGUCUGACCGAGCAACGCCGCGUGAGUGAAGAAGGUUGUCGGAUCGUAAAACUCUGUUGGUAGAGAAGAACGUUGGUGAGAGUGGAAAGCUCAUCAAGUGACGGUAACUACUCAGAAAGGGACGGCUAACUACGUG
rnacentral:rRNA from 1 species